rnacentral:rRNA from 1 species
UACGUAGGGUGCAAGCGUUAUCCGGAAUUACUGGGUGUAAAGGGUGCGUAGGCGGCAAUACAAGUCAUAUGUGAAAAUCGAGGGCUUAACCCUCGACCUGCAUAAGAAACUGUAUAGCUAGAGUACAGGAGAGGUAAGCGGAAUUCCUAGUGUAGCGGUGAAAUGCGUAGAUAUUAGGAAGAACACCAGUGGCGAAGGCGGCUUACUGGACUGUAACUGACGCUGAGGCACGAAAGCGUGGGGAGCGAACAGG